CGGCGUGCUUAACACAUGCAAGUCGAGCGGGGAUAGAUACUGGAAGGUUUCGGCUGGAAGGUAUUUAUUCUAGCGGCGGACGGGUGAGUAACGCGUGAACAAUCUGUCCCAGACAGGGGGAUAACAGAUGGAAACAUUUGCUAAUACCGCAUAAGACCACGAGGUCGCAUGGCCAUGGGGUAAAAGGAGGAAUCCGGUUUGGGGUGAGUUCGCGUCCGAUUAGCUAGUUGGUGAGGUAACGGCCCACCAAGGCGACGAUCGGUAGCCGACCUGAGAGGGUGAUCGGCCACAUUGGAACUGAGACACGGUCCAAACUCCUACGGGAGGCAGCAGUGGGGAAUAUUGGGCAAUGGGCGGAAGCCUGACCCAGCAACGCCGCGUGAGUGAAGAAGGUUUUCGGAUUGUAAAGCUCUGUCCUUGGUGACGAAGGAAGUGACGGUAGCCAAGGAGGAAGCCCCGGCUAACUACGUGCCAGCAGCCGCGGUAAUACGUAGGGGGCAAGCGUUGUCCGGAAUGACUGGGCGUAAAGGGCGUGUAGGCGGCCGAUUAAGUCUGGAGUGAAAGUCCACUUUUCAAGGGUGGAAUUGCUUUGGAUACUGGUUGGCUUGAGUGCGGAAGAGGUAAGUGGAAUUCCCAGUGUAGCGGUGAAAUGCGUAGAGAUUGGGAGGAACACCAGUGGCGAAGGCGACUUACUGGGCCGUAACUGACGCUGAGGCGCGAAAGCGUGGGGAGCGAACAGGAUUAGAUACCCUGGUAGUCCACGCGGUAAACGAUGAAUGCUAGGUGUUGCGGGUAUCGACCCCUGCAGUGCCGGAGUAAACACAAUAAGCAUUCCGCCUGGGGAGUACGGCCGCAAGGUUGAAACUCAAAGGAAUUGACGGGGGCCCGCACAAGCAGUGGAUUAUGUGGUUUAAUUCGACGCAACGCGAAGAACCUUACCAGGGUUUGACAUCCAACUAACGAAGUAGAGAUACAUUAGGUGCCCUUCGGGGAAAGUUGAGACAGGUGGUGCAUGGUUGUCGUCAGCUCGUGUCGUGAGAUGUUGGGUUAAGUCCCGCAACGAGCGCAACCCCUAUUGUUAGUUGCUACGCAAGAGCACUCUAGCGAGACUGCCGUUGACAAAACGGAGGAAGGCGGGGACGUCGUCAAAUCAUCAUGCCCCUUAUAUCCUGGGCUACACACGUAAUACAAUGGUGGUAAACAGAGGGAAGCAAUAGAGCGAUCUGGAGCAAAUCCCUAAAAGCCAUCUCAGUUCGGAUUGCAGGCUGCAACUCGCCUGCAUGAAGCUGGAAUUGCUAGUAAUCGCGAAUCAGCAUGCCGCGGUGAAUACGUUCCCGGGCCUUG
rnacentral:rRNA from 1 species